GAUGAACGCUAGCGGCAGGCUUAACACAUGCAAGUCGAGGGGCAUCAGCCGAUGUAGCAAUACAUUGGUGUUGGCGACCGGCGUAAGGGUGCGUAACGCGUGAGCAACAUGCCCGCAACAGGCGGAUAGACCGUGGAAACGCGGCGUAAACCGCCAUAGGACCAGUAGCAGCAUUGCAACAGGUUGAAAUCUUCGGAGGUUGCGGAUUGGCUCGCGUAACAUUAGCUAGAUGGAGAGGUAACGGCUCACCAUGGCUACGAUGUUUAGGGAACUGAGAGGUUGACCCCCCAACUGGAACUGAGACACGGUCCAGACUCCUACGGGAGCAGCAGUGAGGAAUAUUGGACAAUGGAUGGAAAUCUGAUCCAGCCAUGCCGCGUGCAGGAGAAGGUCCUAAGUGGAUUGUAAACUGCUUUUAGGGCGGAACAAUACGGUCCAGAGUCGACGAUGAGAGUACCGAAAAGAAUAG
rnacentral:rRNA from 1 species